rnacentral:rRNA from 1 species
UGCGUAGGCAGCAAGCGUUGUUCGGAGUUACUGGGCGUAAAGAGUGCGUAGGCGGUCCUGUAAGUUUGGUGUGAAAUCUCCCGGCUCAACUGGGAGGGUGCGCCGAAGACUGCAGGGCUUGAGUAUGGGAGAGGUAAGCGGAAUUCCUGGUGUAGCGGUGAAAUGCGUAGAUAUCAGGAGGAACACCUAUGGCGAAGGCAGCUCGCUGGGACGUUACUGACGCUGAGACGCGAAAGCGUGGGGAGCGAACAGG